rnacentral:ncRNA from 1 species
GAAAUAUUUGAUUUUGUUAUUAAAAAUUAGCUUUAAUUUAAUGAUUAUAUGUUACUUUUUGGGGUAAAAUUAAUCUUAAUGAUUAUUUUAUUUUUGGCAGUUUUUUAUUUUAGUUUUUAAAGAAGUUUAGAUCUAGAUAAUUUUAUUUAGAACUGUAAAAAGUUGUGCCAGCAUAUGCGGUUAUACAAUUAGUUCAAUUUAAUUUUUUUGAUUUAUAUUAUAUUAAGUAUUUUUGAGAUUAUAUUUAGAAAUUAUUAGGUGAAAUUUUAAUUUUUAAUAAUCUUUGGUUUUAAUUAUUUAUAUGAAAUUUGGUUUAUAAACUAGGAUUAGAUACCCUAUUAUUCCUAAUGUAUUUUUUAUUUUUAGUAUUAAUAGUUAUGUUCUUUAAAUUAAAAAAAUUUGGCGGUAACUUAAUCUUUUCAGAGGAACCUGUUCUUUAAUUGAUAAUCCACGUUAAGUUUUACUUUAAUUAAAUUUGUAUACCUCUGUCAUUGAAUGUCUUAUUAGGGUUUAAAUUUUCUAUUUUUAUUAUUUAAUAUAUGUCAAGUCAAGGUGCAAUUAUAUUAAAGGUUGAAAUGGGUUACUUUUAAUGUUUAUUUAUUGGAUUUAAAAUUUUUAUAUUUUUAUGAAAUUGGAUUUGAAAGUAAAUUGUAUUUUUUAAUAUAAUUGAUUUUGGCUCUAAGUUAUGUACAUAUCGCCCGUCACUCUCGCCUUUAAAGUGAGAUAAGUCGUAACAAAGUAAUUUUACUGGAAAGUGAAGUUGGUUGUUA